GCAACUAGAGGGACUGUAGGAUGAUGGGAGACCAAGUUCCCCAAAGCUGCACGGCCUCUAGAAACCCUGUAUUUUACAGCUUCUCCCUAAACACAUUUGCCCUGGAGAAUUCUUUGGCUUUUCUGCAGCAGAAUUGAGGAAUGGGGACAGCUAGAAAUAGAGAAUUGACAGAGGCAGAAAAUCCAUAAACAACUAUGUCUCUGCAAUUAAUACCAAUACGGAGAUGUGGACAGACCCGUGGGGUGUGGCCGGCACAAAACAACAGACGUGAAGAGGCGGCCCUAGUGCAAGAAGGUGAACAAGCCCACCCUGAUUCCAGGAGGAUAUUUCCCUGGCUUCUUUCCCUGCAGUCAAACCAUGCGACCCCAGGAUCCACGGCUUACCAGUUGUGUGACCUCCUUACAAAUAGGGGUGUGCCGUUACCACUCACAAGCAUGAUCUGCAGCAGCAGCAGCUGUGGUUAUGAAGGCCUGCCUCUCCUUCCUGUUCCUUCAUCAGGACUCCAGACUGUCCUUACCUGCCCACAGCCUUCCCGAUGGUCCUUGGGCACUGCUUUCUCCUCUUCCUGCAGCUUUGCCUGUGUGCCACCCCGAGAAUCUUCAGUUCUGCUUCCCUCUGUUUCGUCUGCCUCACGUUGCAUGAAGCCUAGUGUCCCUGCAACCUCUUUCCCAGGCUCUUCCCAGGCCCCAGUCUCUCCAUGCAGGAGGGCAUCCUCCACUCCUGGACCCUCAAAAGCCUCUGUGCGGUGAAGACAUCUUAAACAGAUAUUGGAUUUCUCAUAUUCCCUACUGGAGCUCCUGGGCCUGGUGUGUGAAGAAUUCCAUCCUCUGACUGAUGGGUUGCUGGCAGCAGCAGGACCACUCGGGGCCGGCAUUUAGAGCCUGAUAAACAUUUCCACAUGUUGAGCUUCAUGAACUGAUGGUCUGGAUUUGGGGCCAAGCAGGAAAAUGACCACAUCACUGAAGCCACUUCCCAAAUUAUGAGAUUUAAUGAGCCAAGGAAAUUAAAUUAUUCUCUAAAGUACUUUCUGGUUUAGAUUACGACUGGGUGGCAGCCGUUGCUACCACCAAAUCUUUCGGAAAAAUGACACACAGAUAACACUGAACUUGGCUCAAAAUGCUAUGAUUUUACUUAUCCAUUCACGUUUACUAAGAGUCCGCUAUAUGAGGAGUAUUGAACCGAAGAACGGCUGGUACACAGACUUGGGUCCCUGCCCACAAAGAGUCUGCAUGCGACCUGUCAGGAGGGCCAAGGCAUGGAAAUAAAGACUUAUAAUGAGGAAGCA
rnacentral:lncRNA from 1 species